ACGGCUCAGUAACACGUGGAUAACCUGCCCAAGGGUCUGGGAUAACCCCGGGAAACUGGGGAUAAUACCGGAUGGAUCACUAGUGCUGGAAUGCUUGGUGGUCGAAAGGCAACGCCUUUGGAUGGGUCUGCGGCGGAUUAGGUUGACGCCGGUGUAACGUACCGGCGUGCCUGUAAUCCGUACGGGUUGUGGGAGCAAGAGCCCGGAGAUGGAUUCUGAGACACGAAUCCAGGCCCUACGGGGCGCAGCAGGCGCGAAAACUCUACAAUGCAGGCAACUGCGAUAGGGGGACAUCGAGUGGCAUCCACCUUGGGUGCCUGUCCAACCGUCUAAAAAACGGUUGUUAGCAAGGGCCGGGUAAGACCGGUGCCAGCCGCCGCGGUAAUACCGGCGGCUCGAGUGGUGGCCGAUAUUAUUGAGUCUAAAGGGUCCGUAGCCGGCUUUGCAAGUCCCCUGGGAAAUCCAGCGGCUUAACCGUUGGGCUUUCAUGGGAUACUACAUUGCUUGGGACUGGGAGAGGUAGGAGGUACUCGGGGGGUAGGGGUGAAAUCCUGUAAUCCUCCGGGGACCACCGGUGGCGAAGGCGUCCUACCAGAACAGGUCCGACGGUGAGGGACGAAAGCUAGGGGCACGAACCGGAUUAGAUACCCGGGUAGUCCUAGCCGUAAACGAUGCCCGCUAGGUGUCACGACGGUCGUGAAUCGUCGUGGUGCCGUAGGAAGCCGCGAAGCGGGCCACUUGGGAAGUACGGCCGCAAGGCUGAAACUUAAAGGAAUUGGCGGGGGAGCAC
rnacentral:rRNA from 1 species